rnacentral:rRNA from 1 species
GACGGAGGCCCCGAGCGUUGUUCGGAAUUAUUGGGCUUAAAGCGCGUGUAGGCGGAGCGGUAAGUACCUUGUGAAAUCCCCGGUCUCAACCCGGGAAUUGCUUGGUAUACUGCCGUUCUCGAGGCAGGUAGGGGUCACUGGAACCUUAGGUGGAGCGGUGAAAUGCGUAGAUAUCUAAGGGAACGCCUGUGGCGAAAGCGGGUGACUGGGCCUGUCCUGACGCUGAGACGCGAAAGCGUAGGGAGCAAAC